GAUGAACGCUGGCGGCGUGCCUAAUACAUGCAAGUCGAGCGAACGGACGAGAAGCUUGCUUCUCUGAUGUUAGCGGCGGAAGGGUGAGUAACACGUGGAUAACCUACCUAUAAGACUGGGAUAACUUCGGGCAACCGGAGCUAAUACCGGAUGAUAUUUUGAACCGCAUGGUUCAAAAGUGAAAGACGGUCUUGCUGUCACUUAUAGAUGGAUCCGCGCUGCAUUAGCUAGUUGGUAAGGUAACGGCUUACCAAGGCAACGAUGCAUAGACGACCUGAGAGGGUGAUCGGCCACACUGGAACUGAGACACGGUCCAGACUCCUACGGGAGGCAGCAGUAGGGAAUCUUCCGCAAUGGGCGAAAGCCUGACGGAGCAACGCCGCGUGAGUGAUGAAGGUCUUCGGAUCGUAAAACUCUGUUAUUAGGGAAGAACAUAUGUGUAAGUAACUGUGCACAUCUUGACGGUACCUAAUCAGAAAGCCACGGCUAACUACGUG
rnacentral:rRNA from 1 species